GACUAUAAGUCUCCUGAAGGAACGUUGAGACUAUAAGUCUCCUGAAGGAACGUUGAAGACGACGACGUUGAUAGGUCGGGUGUGUAAGCGCAGCGAUGCGUUGAGCUAACCGAUACUAAUGAACCGUGAGGCUUAACCUU
rnacentral:rRNA from 1 species